AACCACUGGAACGGUGGCUAAUACCGGAUGUGCCGCAGGUGAAAGAUUAAUUGCCUGAAGAUGAACUCGCGUCUGAUUAACUAGUAAGUGUGGUAAGAGCGCACCUAGGCGACGAUCAGUAGCUGGUCUGAAAGGAUGAUCAGCCACACUGGGACUGAAACACGGCCCAAACUCCUACGGGAGGCAGCAGUGGGGAAUUUUCCGCAAUGGGCGAAAGCCUGACGGAACAAUACCGCGUGAGGGAAGAAGGCUCUUGGGUUGUAAACCUCUUUUCUCAAGGAAGAACACAAUGACCGUACUUGAGGAAUCAGCAUCGGCUAACUCCGUGCCAGCAGCCGCGGUAAUACGGAAGAAGCAAGCGUUAUCCGGAAUGAUUGGGCGUAAAGCGUCCGCAGGUGGCGAUGUAAGUCUGCUGGUAAAGAAUGAGGCUCAACCUCCUAAAAACAGUGGAAACUACAUAACUAGAGUGCGGUAGGGGCAGAAGGAAUUCCUGGUGAACGGUGAAAUGCGUAAAAAUCAAGAAGAAACCGGUGGCGAAACGCUCUGCUAGGCCGAACUGAACUGAAGGACGAAACUAGGGGAAGAAAGGGAUAAAACCCCGGAAUCAA
rnacentral:rRNA from 1 species